rnacentral:rRNA from 1 species
AGACGUAGGGGGCGAGCGUUGUCCGGAAUUACUGGGCGUAAAGAGCGCGUAGGCGGAUAUUUAAGUCAGGUGUGAAAGACCGCAGCUCAACUGCGGGGUUGCACCUGAAACUGGGUAUCUUGAGGGCAGGAGAGGGAAGUGGAAUUCCUGGUGUAGCGGUGAAAUGCGUAGAAAUCAGGAGGAACACCAGUGGCGAAGGCGACUUUCUGGACUGACCCUGACGCUGAGACGCGAAAGCGUGGGUAGC